rnacentral:tRNA from 1 species
GAGUAAGAAGCAUUAAAAUGCUUUCAGUUUCGACCUGAAAUAUUGGUCUACCACUUACUUU